rnacentral:rRNA from 1 species
UACGGAGGGGGCUAGCGUUGUUCGGAAUUACUGGGCGUAAGCGCGCGUAGGCGGAUCUGCAAGUCGGGGGUGAAAUCCCGAGGCUCAACCUCGGAACUGCCUUCGAUACUGCGGGUCUCGAGUCCGGGAGAGGUGAGUGGAAUUCCUAGUGUAGAGGUGAAAUUCGUAGAUAUUAGGAAGAACACCAGUGGCGAAGGCGGCUCACUGGCCCGGUACUGACGCUGAGGCGCGAAAGCGUGGGGAGCAAACAGG